CUCAGCCUGCCUGCUCCCUGCUCCCUAGGUCACCAGCCUCUGACCUGCCCUCACUCCCAGUCUUUGCUUUCUAGGUGUCAAGGUCCAGAUACAGUCUCUCAAUGGCGAGCACCUGCACAUCCGGGAAUUCCACCGGGUCAAGGUGGGAGACAUUGCAACCGGCAUCAGCAGCCAGAUCCCGGCCACAGCUUUCAGCUUGGUGACCAAAGAUGGACAGCCUGUUUGCUAUGACAUGGAGGUGCCAGACUCAGGCAUCGACCUGCAGUGCACCCUAGCCCCUGAUGGCAGCUUCGCUUGGGCCUGGAGGGUCAAGCACGGCCAGCUGGAGAACCGGCCCUAGCCCUGUCUUCCAGCACCAGCUCUACUCUGGCCACAGCAGGCUUCCUUUGAAUCUCAGUACUCAGUGGCGCUCUGAGAUGCUGGAUGAGUCUGCUCAGGCCCCUGCCAGUCCCCGGCUGGGCAUAAGACCGGGGCUGUCGAGCAGCAAGCGGAGGAGCAGAGUAAAACGCCUCCCAGGACUUGCCUGCCUCCUGCUGCUGGCUCCUGGCAGGAGAAACUCUUCCCUCAUGAGAAGACAAGGAGGAAGACAGGGGUCUCAUCCCCCAGAGAGAGAGCCAGCGCUUUCUGUGAUGCUCCAAAUGAGGUAGCCAGACCCACAUGGGUCAGUCAGCACUU
rnacentral:lncRNA from 1 species